ensembl:lncRNA
UAAAUGAAUCCCUUAAAAACAAAGGAUAUCAGUUACAGUGAAUCAAGUGCGUUGUCCUUCCUUCAGCUGACCUAUUUGUAACUUCUAAUCACAGGUGCAGAAAAUGGAACUCUUCUGCCCAAAUGAGGUAAAAGGAAGAAAUGUGCAUCUUCCUCUUAUUUGGAAUCAAUGUUUAGUUCUGGGCCACUUGAAAACACAAGCUUUUUCUGCAGCCUGCUGGCAUUCUUUCUGCUCUGUAGGUGUCAAUAAAAGAGCAACAGAGACAGUGACAAGACUGCUCGCAGAGAAACAGAACAAAAGGUGAAAGGAAGGUGGGGACAAUGUAGGCAAAAAGAAGCAGUGCAGAGACUUCUGCUCCAAAACCAGAGACUCUAGCUGCUCUCCAUCAGCCAUGGCAGAGGUAGGAAAAGAAGAGACGUGGCUCUCAGGGAUCAGCAAGGUGGUCGCUCAACAAAGCCCAGGACCCAAGGUUAUUUGGAUAUUUCAUAUUUUGACCCAUUUACAUUUCAUGAGCCCCAAAUCGUGCUCCUCAGUAUUCAGUUUUUUUCUCCAUUGACUUUAAUUAAGCUCACCAUCGGUUCUCAACCCUGAUGAACAGGGAGAGUGUUUUCUAUCAACAAGCGAUCUGGCUUCUGAAGCAGGAUGUCUGGGGCUUGUCCACAUCUCAUUCAAAUGUUUUCUCUUCCAUCCUGUGAUGUGAUUCUUGGAAUGUGACAUGAAGACACAUUCAGCUGCUACAACAUAAAUAUGUUCCACUCUGUAGCUGUGAAAGUUACCAAAUUAUUCCUGAUUCAGACAUGUCAUCUAGAACCUGGGAUCAGUAGCUUCUGUGCGGGAAGCGGUGCUAGGUGCUGUUCAUGAUGGGACGUGCUUGCAUACCUCCAUUUAGAUGUCAAAUCACAUGGGUCCCCUCUUGCUUUCCAGCAACUCCUCUUCAUUUUAAGCCUCCAAUUUUUGUGUCUCUGACUAGAUCAGGGAACAGAUGUAUUUAUUUGGUGUUUAGUCCAUUAAUUGCGUUACUUGUUGAGAAAUGUCUGCUUUAUCUUUAUGAUGAGGAAUCCCAAGGCAAAAAGCACAGAGCCAGAUUCUUCUACUUAUUCAUCCAAAGAUGGCUUCAAGAGGUGGAUUAGGCUUAUUGUUAGAGUAAUGCCAGUCCAAGAACAGGGUUUCCAGGAGGUAGGUUAGGGUCACUUCAUUACAUAGUCUGUCUAGUUAAAAAGUGUACUUUGUGCAGUUUUAAUAACUGUACAUUGGGAAAUGAAAAACGUGGGUGUGAUCAAAACCAGAACAACAGGACAGGGAGUUUGAGUAUAGUGUUAGCAAAGGCCACUGAGAUUAGGUUCCCAGUGUUUUGAGUAAUCCUACUUAGGUAUAGAAUUCUGGGAAAGAGAAAGGGAGAAAAAAAAGGAAAAACACAAGGAGGGAGAAAAUUCUCCUUCUGAUUACAAAGUAAACAUGUUUAUUUUUUUAAUGGGAAAAAAACCCUACCUUUCAUUGGUUAUCUAUUGGCUGCAUAAUAAACUACCCCGACAUUUAGUGGCUUAAACAAUAAUACUUAUUAUCUGACUCUUUCUGUGGGUCAGGAAUUGCUGGCUGAGUGGCGAGUGUCUGCCUCAAGGUCUCCUGUGAGGUUGCAGUCAAGCCGGGGCUGUGGUCUUAUCUGAAGGCUCCACCAGGAGUGGGAAGGGUGCAGGUGUGGAUCUGUCUCUAAGCUCACAGAAGGGUGCUUAGUGACCUAUCACACGGCUGCCUCACAAUAUGGCGCCAGCUUCCUCAGGACCAGCAGCCAGAGAAGGAGCAACAGAGAGCUCAGGAUGGAAGCAGCAGUCUUUCUAAACCUAGUCUUGGAAGUGAACAUCUGCUCAGUUCUCUUUGUUAGGAGCAAGUCAGUCAGUCUCACUCACCCUAAAGGAAGCAGGUGGCACAAAGGCCUCACUGGUGGGUGCUGGGAAUUAUUGGCAGCUGUGUUGGGAGGUGCCUGACACAUACACAAAAGCACAGAGGAGACAGAUCCUUAAAAAUCAUCUGUAAUCUCAUCACCCAGAGAUAGUUAUCUUUCAGUUUUAGGUACAUAUACGUACAGACAUUUUUCAAUACUUUGGGAUACAUUUCUAUCAUUUUCCUUAUAAAAUCAGCUCAUACUACAUGUAACUUUUUGAAACCCUUCACGUAAUGGGUAUUUAGUAAAAGGGAGAGCUUCUCAUUAUUCAACAAAUGCAUAUAUAUUUG